CACGCCGUAAACGAUGAGUGCUAAGUGUUAGGGGGUUUCCGCCCCUUAGUGCUGCAGCUAACGCAUUAAGCACUCCGCCUGGGGAGUACGGUCGCAAGACUGAAACUCAAAGGAAUUGACGGGGGCCCGCACAAGCGGUGGAGCAUGUGGUUUAAUUCGAAGCAACGCGAAGAACCUUACCAGGUCUUGACAUCCCGUUGCCCACUAUGGAGACAUGGUUUUCCCUUCGGGGACAACGGUGACAGGUGG
rnacentral:rRNA from 1 species